rnacentral:rRNA from 1 species
UUCUGGUUGAUCCUGCCGAAGGCUACUGCUAUUGGAGUUCGAUUAAGCCAUGCGAGUCUAAGGGACUUCGGUCCCUGGCAUAAUGCUCAGUAACAAGUGGAUAAUCUGCCCUUAGGUGAGGAAUAAACCCGGGAAACUGGGGCUAAUACCUCAUAGACACAAGAAGCUGGAAUGCUCCUGUGUUCAAAGCUCCGGCGCCUAAGGAUGAGUCUGCUUCCUAUCAGGUUGUAGUCAGGGUCAUGACCUGACUAGCCAGCGACGGGUACGGGGUGUGAGAGCACUUGCCCGGAGAUGGUUUCUGAGACACGAAACCAGGCCCUACGGGGCGCAGCAGGCGCGAAAACUUCGCAAUGCGGGAAACCGUGACGAGGGAACUCCAAGUGUCUAUGCAAUGCAUAGACUGUUUUUCAGCCUAAAUAGCUGUUAGAGUAAGAGGUGGGCAAGACCGGUGCCAGCCGCCGCGGUAACACCGGCACCUCAAGUGGUAGCCACUAUUAUUGGGCCUAAAGCGUUCGUAGCCGGUUUGGUAAAUUCUUGGGUAAAUCGUACAGCUUAACUGUGCGGAUUCCGGGGACACUACCAGACUUGAGACCGGGAGAGAUCAGAGGUACUUGUAGGGGAGCGGUGAAAUGUUGUAAUCCUACAGGGACCACCAGUGGCGAAGGCGUCUGAUCAUAACGGCUUUGACGGUGAGGAACGAAACCCUG